UACACGUUAUUGCACUCCCUCUCGUGUAUUAUUGCUUAAUUAAUGACCAAUCUAAGGUGCCAGUUUGGGUGCUUAACAUUGUGCAUUUUCUGAAUCAGCCACACACUUCUAAUAAAAAAGCAAAAGAUAUUUUAUUUUAUUAUGAGAAAGGCAAUAGCCAAUAGACAACUGAGAAUGUAAAUGUAAAAAGCAUUUUGCAAACAAAUAAUAUCAAAGUAACAAUUACAUCCACAUAGUGCUCACAUUAAAAAUUAGGGAAAAGGACAGAGGUGUCCUAAUAUCACACAAAUGGCACCCAAAUAUUUAAAUAAAUAAAAAGAACACUCAAACCACAUGGCAACAGUGUUCUUAUAAGCUUUUAUUAUUUAACUUUAUUAAUUAUUUACAUUAAAUCCAAUCUUUUGGACACCUUGCAAUACACAUUUUAAAAAACAUUAAGGAGUCUAAUUACCCUAUAUGCUAUAAAUGCUCCCAAGUGUUCACUAGGAGAGAGAAAACUAGCCCAAAUUUUCUUCUGAUACGUUAGACUUUGCAUCUUUUGCAGCAUCACCAGCUAAUCAGCAUACUCUGAGGAAAGUGCAGCGACCCAGCUCUGAUACACCAGCUAAGAGAUGUCUGUGCUGACCAGCAUUACACUAGGAAUGAUGUAGGAACAAGACGCCAUCUACACACCCAGAGAGAUCAAGAAUCUGCCCUCUCCCUACAGACCCCCGCGUCCUUUUCUGACUCCCAGCUCGCAUUCAGCACAUUCCUUUCCAGCAUGCCGCUGUACGCUGACAGCGCUGCCAUUGUCUCGGCCCUCCCCUGAGCUCCCCUUCAUACUUCAAGGAGGAACGUGUCUGUUGGUGACCUAUUAAAACCAACAGCCGGCCCGGGGCCUGCAGCUCAUUGUGAGGAAGAGGGGUCUGAGUGUGUCUCUGCCACACACACCUCGUCUGAGUCGGGGCAGCUUGAGUCGGGACGGAAUGAAGGGUCUGCUUUUGUCUGAUUUUGCUCUGCUAGGGGUUCUCAGCUCAUUGUUUCACGGUAGCUCCUAUCUGCACAAAGAGGACAUUGUGGAGCAGUGCGUGGGGGGCCUCGUCAGCCCCCUGGUUUGCCAAAGCUUCAGUAGCAUCUUUGUCUUGUCUGGGAGUUCAAUGCUAAAUCUGAUGCAGUACAUUCCAGAUCAGAUUUGAACUAUGUUUAGUUUUUGUCCCUUUGUGUUUGCAUUAUCAUGUUUUCAGUUUUGAUUGUUAUGAUGUCAUAUAUUUUACCUGUAUUCAUACAGCUCUGGAAUAAAUAAAACACCUAAAAAUGA